AUAGAACGCUGGCGGCAGGCCUAACACAUGCAAGUCGGGCGGAUGAAGGGAGCUUGCUCCUGGAUUCAGCGGCGGACGGGUGAGUAAUGCCUAGGAAUCUGCCUGGUAGUGGGGGAUAACGUCCGGAAACGGGCGCUAAUACCGCAUACGUCCUGAGGGAGAAAGUGGGGGAUCUUCGGACCUCACGCUAUCAGAUGAGCCUAGGUCGGAUUAGCUAGUUGGUGGGGUAAAGGCCUACCAAGGCGACGAUCCGUAACUGGUCUGAGAGGAUGAUCAGUCACACUGGAACUGAGACACGGUCCAGACUCCUACGGGAGGCAGCAGUGGGGAAUAUUGGACAAUGGGCGAAAGCCUGAUCCAGCCAUGCCGCGUGUGUGAAGAAGGUCUUCGGAUUGUAAAGCACUUUAAGUUGGGAGGAAGGGCAGUAAGUUAAUACCUUGCUGUUUUGACGUUACCAACAGAAUAAGCACCGGCUAACUUCGUG
rnacentral:rRNA from 1 species